GGGGCGGAGAGAGGCUCUCACGGCGCGACGACUGUCCCCGGCAUGAGCACCUGGAGCAGGGCCUCCGCCAAGGACGUCACUGCACAAAGGUCCCGAAUGAACGGAUGGAUGUUGGAACGGCUCCCUCCUCCGCAUUCAGGCAAGACACUGGAGCUGAGGCCACCAGGCGGUGUCUGCUGCGUGGUUAGCACGGAGACCCAAAUCCUCAGAGCCCCCCAGCCCUUUCCUGGAAUCCAGUGUGGUCAGCAGAGCCUCUGGAAAUGGGAAGUGUCUGGAGGUAAAGCAGGGCGCAGAGAAGCCGGGGCCCAAGUUAAUUACAGAGGAAGCGACCCUGGUCUGGUCCCCCGGGGUGGGUGGGGGGCAAGUCCGCUUUCCCAGCAUUUCAGGCCCCUGUUAAGUAGAAGGUGGGAUGGGGAGGCCGGUCCUCUCCUGCUGCCCCCUCCCCACCCCUUUGCCUUUGUCUUGUCCUCCAUCCCACUCGCUCCCAUGCUGCCUGCUGCAGAGAGGCUGGAGCCGACAGCUUGGCUCCUUGCCGGGGCGGGAGGCCUGUCCGGUCACCAGGGUCCUGCACCAGCCGAGGGGCUGUCCCUGGGAUGCCUCCCAUUGCCUUUCACGGAGCCUUGGGGCCAGGGCGUGGCGCUUUGGUCUCUUUGCUCGGGAACCACACUCAGGGCGGUUGGUCAUCCAUGGAUGUGAGCAUCAGCAGGAGAGACAGAAGCCCAGUGAGGAGCCACCCGCUUGUCCUUCAAGCUCUUAAGGACACGAGAGGCAGGAAGAGAGGCAGAAGAAUACAGAACGUGGGAAUAGCUACAGUCGCCUCUACGGAGCCCAGUGCUCCGGCGAUCAGGAGCUUCCGAGACGAGCCAGGGCUGGCCUUCCCUCUCUAGGCGCCAGAGAAUAAGCGAAAGAAAGCACAAUAAACACUGCAGCUUCUCGGACCUCCGCUCUGCAAGUAUUGCGUGCUGUACACAGCGUCGAAUCUUCGUUUCCCUGUGAAUUGCAAGAAACCCCUGGCCGGUUGGGGGCGAAUCCAAACAGCCCUGUUGGGGGAAGUCGGUUCCCGGAGGGGGGCUCCCGGAGGGCCGGCCCACGUGCCUCCAGGCUCUGACCCCCGACAGCAUCGAUGUCAGGCAGAGCGGCCCGGCGUCCUCGGGGAGGCUGGGUGUCUGGUCUGGGAGAGGCCACCUGGCCCCCACGUCCGGUAUCACGUUAGGGGAAACCAAAGGGCAAGUACCAGAACCGGCUCCUCGUUCGCUGAGGUUUGGGACUAAACAAAACAAACAUACAGUGGCGAAAAGCAUUGGUCCUUUACAGACACACAUGUCCUCUGGGGAUGCGAAUGUACGGAGGCCGCGGGUCCAGUUCGGCUUCCGCUCAGCCAGGCCGAGCCGCUCCGGGGCGGUGCCACUGGGCGAGGUCCCAUCCUCUCCUACCUCUUCUGGCUGCCAGGGGGAUCCCAGGUGUCCCUGGCCUCUCUUUUGGCAAAGUGUUUGGUGCCAACUUGUGCUCAUUCUUCUCCUCCUCGCUUUCUUUUCUUUUCUUUCUUUUUCUUUAAUUUUAAGGGCAAGGAAACAAUCAUUUCCCCUCCACCUUCUCUCUGCAGGCUUUUUCUGGUGCCGGGAAACAAGUUAUACGAGGAAGUGGGGGUGUGGAAGAAGGAAGGGCACAGAAAUCAGAAUUAAACGAAAGUUGGACGGGAUUGACAGGGAGGCUUUUUGUUUGUUUUAUUUCUGGUUUUCCUUUUUCUUAAAAAAAAUUAAAUAAAGUUCUCAUUAUUUCCC
rnacentral:lncRNA from 1 species